rnacentral:rRNA from 1 species
UACGGAGGGUGCAAGCGUUAUCCGGAUUUACUGGGUUUAAAGGGUGUGUAGGCGGGCUUUUAAGUCAGUGGUGAAAUCUCCGGGCUCAACCCGGAAACUGCCAUUGAUACUAUUAGUCUUGAAUUUUGUUGAGGUAGGCGGAAUAAGUCAUGUAGCGGUGAAAUGCAUAGAUAUGACUUAGCAACACCAAUUGCGAAUGGCAGCUUACUAAGCAAAUAUUGACGCUGAGGACGAAAGCGUGGGGAUCAAACAGG